rnacentral:rRNA from 1 species
UACAGAGGUCCCAAGCGUUGUUCGGAUUCACUGGGCGUAAAGGGCGCGUAGGCGGUGCUGUAAGUCUGUAGUGAAAUCUCUGGGCUCAACUCAGAGUCUGCUAUAGAACUGCAGUGCUCGAGUCCGGAAGAGGCGAGUGGAAUUCCUGGUGUAGCGGUGAAAUGCGCAGAUAUACAGGAGAACACCAAUGGCGAAGGCAGCUCGC